UACUGAUAUUGCUGCUGGUGCAGUUAUUGUGUGGCCCCUUGGUGUAUGAUGUGUAUGAUGGAUAAUGAUGUUGCGGUUGCUGGUUUCUUGUGUGUGGUGGGGGUUGGAGACGCAUAGGCAGUCGAAGUGGUUGAUGGAAUUUGGGAAAUUUUGGAACGUUACUUGCGCCGCCGGAGGUAUUGUGAAGUCGAUGUUGAUAUGGGUGUUGGUGAUGGUAUGGAUAUGAAUAUAAGCGUGACUUGCUACCAUUUGCUCCUCCACUAGUAGACAUGUCGUUGCACCUUUCGCUUGGGUCUUUCCCUUGAAAAUUAUUAUUAUGUGGCGCGGA
rnacentral:sRNA from 2 species